GACGAACGCUGGCGGCGUGCUUAACACAUGCAAGUCGAACGGGUCUGCCCUGUUUUUUGCGGUGUGGGUCGGUGGCGAACGGGUGAGUAACACGUUAGUAACCUGCCCCUCACUUCUGGAUAACCGCUGGAAAGGGUGGCUAAUACGGGGUGAUCUUGCUGUGCCGCAUGGUGUGGCUGGGAAAGAUUCACUUUUUUGGUGUUUUGGUGGGGUAUGGGCUCGCGGCCUAUCAGCUUGUUGGAGGGGUGAUGGCCUGCCACGGAUUUGACGGGUAGGCGGCGUGAGAGGGUGGGGGGUCACAGUGGGACUGAGAUGCGGCAGAGACCCAUGCGGGGGGGAGCAGGGGGGGGUAUCGCAAAAUGGGAGGGAGUCUGAGGCAGCGGCGGCGCGUGAGGGAUGGGUGCCUGGGGGUUGUGAACCUCUUUCGAGGGUGAAGAAGGUCCGGCUCUUUGUGGUGGGGUUGACGGUAGCCGGGUUAUGAAGCGCCGGCUAAAUACGUG
rnacentral:rRNA from 1 species